UUGAGAUAACAACAGGUUGCAGAUGGCCGGGUCAAUAAUUGUGUAAUAAUGUAGCAACCCAUUAAGUAAUAUGAUAGACAUGAAUAGCAUAGUGGUGUUGAGAAAAUAAUAUAAUGAACAACCACAGGCUUCCGUUCCCCACAUGUGUUUGCAAAAUCUUUUCCAAAGAUUAAUUAUUCUCUGCGCUUGUGUGAAGGUAUCAGACACGUAAGAACUUGAGCAUUCAAUAGCAGUGUAAGGCAUAAGAAAACAUGAUAAAUAACUCAAAGCCAU
rnacentral:lncRNA from 1 species